rnacentral:rRNA from 1 species
CAAGUCGAGGGGCAGCAUGAUUGAAGCUUGCUUCAAUUGAUGGCGACCGGCGCACGGGUGAGUAACGCGUAUCCAACCUUCCGUACACUCAGGGAUAGCCUUUCGAAAGAAAGAUUAAUACCCGAUGGUAUGAUGAGAUUGCAUGAUAGCAUCAUUAAAGAUUUAUCGGAGUACGAUGGGGAUGCGUUCCAUUAGGUAGUAGGCGGGGUAACGGCCCACCUAGCCGACGAUGGAUAGGGGUUCUGAGAGGAAGGUCCCCCACAUUGGAACUGAGACACGGUCCAAACUCCUACGGGAGGCAGCAGUGAGGAAUAUUGGUCAAUGGACGAGAGUCUGAACCAGCCAAGUAGCGUGAAGGAUGAAGGUCCUACGGAUUGUAAACUUCUUUUAUAAGGGAAUAAAACCUCCCACGUGUGGGAGCUUGUAUGUACCUUAUGAAUAAGCAUCGGCUAACUCCGUGCCAGCAGCCGCGGUAAUACGGAGGAUGCGAGCGUUAUCCGGAUUUAUUGGGUUUAAAGGGAGCGCAGACGGGUCGUUAAGUCAGCUGUGAAAGUUUGGGGCUCAACCUUAAAAUUGCAGUUGAUACUGGCGUCCUUGAGUGCGGUUGAGGUGUGCGGAAUUCGUGGUGUAGCGGUGAAAUGCUUAGAUAUCACGAAGAACUCCGAUUGCGAAGGCAGCACACUAAGCCGUAACUGACGUUCAUGCUCGAAAGUGUGGGUAUCAAACAGGAUUAGAUACCCUGGUAGUCCACACGGUAAACGAUGGAUACUCGCUGUUGGCGAUAUACAGUCAGCGGCUUAGCGAAAGCGUUAAGUAUCCCACCUGGGGAGUACGCCGGCAACGGUGAAACUCAAAGGAAUUGACGGGGGCCCGCACAAGCGGAGGAACAUGUGG